GAUGAACGCUGGCGGCGUGCUUAACACAUGCAAGUCGAACGAGCCUUCGGGCUAGUGGCGGACGGGUGAGUAACGCGUGGGAAUCUGCCCUCAGGAGGGGGAUAACGGCCGGAAACGGCCGCUAAUACCCCAUAUGCCGAGAGGUGAAACGAAUUUCGCCUGAGGAUGAGCCCGCGUCUGAUUAGCUAGUUGGUGAGGUAAUGGCUCACCAAGGCAUCGAUCAGUAGCUGGUCUGAGAGGAUGAUCAGCCACACUGGGACUGAGACACGGCCCAGACUCCUACGGGAGGCAGCAGUGGGGAAUUUUCCGCAAUGGGCGCAAGCCUGACGGAGCAACGCCGCGUGAGGGACGAAGGCCUCUGGGCUGUAAACCUCUUUUCUCAAGGA
rnacentral:rRNA from 1 species